AGAUUGAACGCUGGCGGCAGGCUUAACACAUGCAAGUCGAGCGCCUCGCAAGAGGAGCGGCAGACGGGUGAGUAACGCGUGGGAAUCUACCCAUCCUUACGGAACAACUCCGGGAAACUGGAGCUAAUACCGUAUACGCCCUUAGGGGGAAGAUUUAUCGAGGAUGGAUGAGCCCGCGUUGGAUUAGCUAGUUGGUGGGGUAAAGGCCUACCAAGGCGACGAUCCAUAGCUGGUCUGAGAGGAUGAUCAGCCACAUUGGGACUGAGACACGGCCCAAACUCCUACGGGAGGCAGCAGUGGGGAAUAUUGGACAAUGGGCGCAAGCCUGAUCCAGCCAUGCCGCGUGAGUGAUGAAGGCCCUAGGGUUGUAAAGCUCUUUCACCGGAGAAGAUAAUGACGGUAUCCGGAGAAGAAGCCCCGGCUAACUUCGCGCCAGCAGCCGC
rnacentral:rRNA from 1 species